UAUCGUUGCCGUUCUCGUUGGGCCAGUUGUGGUUCUGGAUGAUGUUGCCGCUGCCAACCGAGUGGGUGAACUGGGCGUUGGUACGCCAGGUGGCACCGUAGUAGAUGGUCACAGAGCUGGCACCGUUGGUGCAGUGAGCAGCAGUCAGCACCCAGUCGUGAGCAAUGAUGGAACCACCGCACCACCAACCGUUGAAGCUCAGGCCAACAGCGUAGGGGGCCUUGCCCUCGUAGGCUGGGUAGCCAUUGGUAAUGCGU